rnacentral:tRNA from 1 species
CGGGGAGUGGCGCAGUCUGGUAGCGCGCCUGCCUUGGGCGCAGGAGGCCGUCGGUUCAAGUCCGAUCUCCCCGACCA